GCGACCGUUGUCUAGUGGUUAUGAUUCGACCUUGCCAAGGUCGGGGCCCGGGUUCAAUUCCCGGCGGUCGCA
rnacentral:tRNA from 1 species